UACGUAGGGGGCAAGCGUUGUCCGGAAUCAUUGGGCGUAAAGCGUGCGCAGGCGGUUGUGCAAGACAGAUGUGAAAUCCCCGGGCUCAACCUGGGAACUGCAUUUGUGACUGCACGGCUGGAGUGCGGCAGAGGGGGAUGGAAUUCCGCGUGUAGCAGUGAAAUGCGUAGAUAUGCGGAGGAACACCGAUGGCGAAGGCAAUCCCCUGGGCCUGCACUGACGCUCAUGCACGAAAGCGUGGGGAGCAAACAGG
rnacentral:rRNA from 1 species